CGUCUAUAUACGUAUAGCAUAUCAAUAAGCGGAGGAAAAGGAAACUAACUAGGAUUCCCUCAGUAACGGCGAGUGAAGCGGGAAGAGCUCAAAUUUGAAAUCUUCAAGGUUCUACCUUGACGAAUUGUAGUUUAAAGAAGUGUUUUCUGUUGGAGUUUUGGUAAAAGUUCUUUGGAAUAGGACAUCAUAGAGGGUGAGAAUCCCGUAUUUGACCAUUAUUUCCAACUUUGUGAUACACUUUCAAAGAGUCGGAUUGUUUGGGAAUGCAGUCCAAAAUGGGUGGUAAACUUCAUCUAAAGCUAAAUACUGGCGAGAGACCGAUAGCGAACAAGUACCGUGAGGGAAAGAUGAAAAGAACUUUGAAAAGAGAGUUAAACAGUACGUGAAAUUGUCAAAAGGGAAGCGUUUGACACCAGUGUUGUUUUCUCGAAAAUCAAUUAAAAAAUGCUGGAUUUUGUGUUGUAUUGACUUUAUCAGCUUUCUGCACUUUUUUCUUGUCUUUUUUAAUGCACUUUUCGUUUAACAAGUCAACAUCAAUUUCUUUUGUUGUAAAAGGGUCAUUGGAAGGUGGCUUUCUCUUCGGAGAAAGUGUUUAUAGCCUUUGGCUUCUGCAAUCGGAGAGAUUGAGGUCUGCAGCGUAGAUCCUUCGGGGUUAGAUACAUUUGUGCUAAGUUAUAGCCUUUCAUAGACAACUUGUUGACUAUGAUCAGUCAUGUAGCUUACUCGCUUAUGCUAUUUUACCUACGCUUAGGAUGUUGACGAUCAGCUGAGCGCG
rnacentral:rRNA from 1 species